CUGAAGUUUAUAACAAGGCUAUCCUACAGGCUAAUGGCAAAAGAAGCUAUGAUCAGACAUUGUAGCAGAAUGUAAGCCGACAGUAUUCAGCUUUUUUGCAGAUUGGUGCUUACUUUUCAACUGACCACCUCUCCAUUUGUCCUUUUUCUCACCAAAAAACCUGGAAAUGUGAAAGAUGCAGUUUCUUUAACUCUUGAGCAUCUAAAGAAAGAGAGAUCAAGAUCAAUUCUUCUCCAAACCAACAAAAGGAGUAGUAUCCUCCUUAUCAGAAAAGUAUUUUCUUAAUCACUGGUUUUUAAAGUCUUACUUAAACACUGAUGCCAGAAGGUUUUUUUUUUUUCUUUCCAAAAUUCUCUCGUUUUAAGUCUGAAUCUCAUACUGUUGAAUUCAUAGGAAAUCCAUUUGAUUCAAUUGGUGCAGAGUCAAACACUUAAUCCUUACUAUUACACAUUUGUAUAUUCUUACUAUCUGUGUAAAUGCUAAAUCUUGUUUUCAGCCUUGCUAAACUCUUAGCCUCAGUGAUACCUCAAGGCAAUGAGUUCCCAAAACUACUCACAUGAAGAAUGUACUUCCUUUUAGCAAUCAUAAUGUUAGUGUAUAUCAGUUUCCCCAAAUGUCUUAUGUAGGUGAAGGGACUCUGAUUUAAUUUUCCUCCGCACCUCACUAAUCUGCCUGCCUCUAUGUUCAGUCCUAUUUGUUCUCUUCUUUAUAUAAACAAUUCAACUCUUUCCAGUCAUAUGGAGGCAGAAUUUUGAGUGUCUUUUCUUUCUACUGAAAGGAAUGCUGAGAGAG